rnacentral:rRNA from 1 species
AACGCUGGCGGCGUGCCUAACACAUGCAAGUCGAGCGAGACGGUUAAGAAUGAUCCUUCGGGUGAAUGAUUAACUAGACAGCGGCGGACGGGUGAGUAACGCGUGGGUAACCUGCCUUAUACUGGGGGAUAACGUUUUGAAAAGAACGCUAAUACCGCAUAAGCGCACAGUAUCGCAUGAUACGGUGUGAAAAACUCCGGUGGUAUAAGAUGGACCCGCGUCAGAUUAGCUAGUUGGUGAGAUAAAAGCUCACCAAGGCGACGAUCUGUAGCCGACCUGAGAGGGUGAUCGGCCACAUUGGGACUGAGACACGGCCCAAACUCCUACGGGAGGCAGCAGUGGAGAAU